rnacentral:rRNA from 1 species
CACACGAGUUUGAUCCUGGCUCAGAUUGAACGCUGGCGGCAUGCCUUACACAUGCAAGUCGAACGGCAGCACGGGAGCAAUCCUGGUGGCGAGUGGCGAACGGGUGAGUAAUAUAUCGGAACGUGCCCAGUAGUGGGGGAUAACCCGGCGAAAGCCGGACUAAUACCGCAUACGACCUACGGGUGAAAGCAGGGGAUCGCAAGACCUUGCGCUAUCGGAGCGGCCGAUAUCAGAUUAGCUUGUUGGUGGGGUAAAAGCCUACCAAGGCGACGAUCUGUAGCUGGUCUGAGAGGACGACCAGCCACACUGGGACUGAGACACGGCCCAGACUCCUACGGGAGGCAGCAGUGGGGAAUUUUGGACAAUGGGCGCGAGCCUGAUCCAGCCAUGCCGCGUGCGGGAAGAAGGCCUUCGGGUUGUAAACCGCUUUUGUCAGGGAAGAAACGGCUCGGGCUAAUACCUCGGGCUAAUGACGGUACCUGAAGAAUAAGCACCGGCUAACUACGUG